rnacentral:rRNA from 1 species
AGUGAACGCUGGCGGUAGGCCUAACACAUGCAAGUCGAACGGCAGCACAGUAAGAGCUUGCUCUUACGGGUGGCGAGUGGCGGACGGGUGAGGAAUACAUCGGAAUCUACUUUUUCGUGGGUGAUAACGUAGGGAAACUUACGCUAAUACCGCAUACGACCUACGGGUGAAAGCAGGGGAUCUUCGGACCUUGCGCGAUUGAAUUAGCCGAUGUCGGAUUAGCUAGUUGGCGGGGUAAGGGCCCACCAAGGCGACGAUCCGUAGCUGGUCUGAGAGGAUGAUCAGCCACACUGGAACUGAGACACGGUCCAGACUCCUACGGGAGGCAGCAGUGGGGAAUAUUGGACAAUGGGCGCAAGCCUGAUCCAGCAAUACCGCGUGGGUGAAGAGGGCCUUCGGGUUGUAAAGCCCUUUUGUUGGGAAAGAAAAGCAGCAGGUUAAUACCCCGCUGUUCUGACGGUACCCAAAGAAUAAGCACCGGCUAACUUCGUG